UAGCGGCGGACGGGUGAGUAAUGCUUAGGAAUCUGCCUAUUAGUGGGGGACAACAUUCCGAAAGGAAUGCUAAUACCGCAUACGCCCUACGGGGGAAAGCAGGGGAUCUUCGGACCUUGCGCUAAUAGAUGAGCCUAAGUCAGAUUAGCUAGUUGGUGGGGUAAAGGCCUACCAAGGCGACGAUCUGUAGCGGGUCUGAGAGGAUGAUCCGCCACACUGGGACUGAGACACGGCCCAGACUCCUACGGGAGGCAGCAGUGGGGAAUAUUGGACAAUGGGCGAAAGCCUGAUCCAGCCAUGCCGCGUGUGUGAAGAAGGCCUUUUGGUUGUAAAGCACUUUAAGCGAGGAGGAGGCUACUUGGAUUAAUACUCUAGGAUAGUGGACGUUACUCGCAGAAUAAGCACCGGCUAACUCUGUGCCAGCAGCCGCGGUAAUACAGAGGGUGCGAGCGUUAAUCGGAUUUACUGGGCGUAAAGCGUGCGUAGGCGGCUUCUUAAGUCGGAUGUGAAAUCCCUGAGCUUAACUUAGGAAUUGCAUUCGAUACUGGGAAGCUAGAGUAUGGGAGAGGAUGGUAGAAUUCCAGGUGUAGCGGUGAAAUGCGUAGAGAUCUGGAGGAAUACCGAUGGCGAAGGCAGCCAUCUGGCCUAAUACUGACGCUGAGGUACGAAAGCAUGGGGAGCAAACAGGAUUAGAUACCCUGGUAGUCCAUGCCGUAAACGAUGUCUACUAGCCGUUGGGGCCUUUGAGGCUUUAGUGGCGCAGCUAACGCGAUAAGUAGACCGCCUGGGGAGUACGGUCGCAAGACUAAAACUCAAAUGAAUUGACGGGGGCCCGCACAAGCGGUGGAGCAUGUGGUUUAAUUCGAUGCAACGCGAAGAACCUUACCUGGUCUUGACAUAGUA
rnacentral:rRNA from 1 species